UGCUGUUGUGCACUUGUGCACUUGUGCUUUGUUAUUAGAUUCCAUUGACAUUGUUGGAUUAUUUGAAUGUGACUAAGAAACUAGGGGAUGCAAUAACAGAGAGGAAUAUUGUUAGCAGCUUGCAUGGACUUCUGCCUGAUCCAAACUGAAGUUUGAGAAAUACUUUCACUGGUUAUUUUUUAUGUGGAGGAGAUUAUCAUCGUAAACUGAAAGCUACAAUGUCUUGUUGACUCCUAGAUUGCAAGAAUAUUAGUAUUUUCUAUAUUAAACAAGCUGAGUAUUUUCUAUAUGUCAAGUCAUUUUCGAAGAGAAUAAGUUCAUUGUUUCAGAGAAUACAUGAAAUUCAUUAACUAAAUAGGAUUUUUUUGGUCCUGUGACUUUUGAAGUUUUAGGCGGACAUGACGAAGAAGGAUUCUGAUUUCAUCUAGUUGCUCUAGGGCAAGCUCCAGAAGUUCAAAAGGAUUUUUUUUGUAGAGAAAGAGGAAGAGUACAUCAUCGUCAUGCUGCAUUAAGCUUUGGGCCUAGGGAGAAAUUGGAAUGCAGCAGAUGGGUUUGCAAGCUCGUCUUAUGAGCCAGGCUCUACGUAAAAUGUCUGAAAAUGCCUCCAAAGCUCGAUGUACUCUUGUUUUUCUGAAUCAAUUAAGACACAAGAUACUUUUCAUCAUUUUAAGCGUAGACUGCUCUUUGGUGGACUAUAGUAGGGACAGUUGCAUGAAUUUUUGUGCGGAGUUUACAUAACAGACACAUGCUCAUUUAAUUCAUAACCUCAAGCUUAUAUCCAGGAGUCUAUGAAGCCCUUGAAUUAAGAGAUGGAGGCUCACACUACCUUGGGAAGGGUGUGUCAAAGGCUGUUGAUAAUGUGAACUCAAUUAUUGGCCCUGCACUUAUUGGCAAGGUAUGUUGCAUACAAAUCCUCCCUUUCUGGAGACUUCUCAAGUUAUCACGGGGAUUGAUGAAAAUUGUUCGGUUGGAAAACAUCAAUCUUUAAAAUUUUCAAGUCAAAAUAGCAAAUGGUAGACAAUAGGGGCAUGAGGUAACUCCUUGUUUGGUAUUGUGUGACAGUUUUCAUUCUCGUAAACUACUUUUGAUGGAAAAACUGCUAUUCUCUGAUCUUCCUAGCCCCCCCUCCCA